rnacentral:rRNA from 1 species
AACGAACGCUGGCGGCAUGCCUAACACAUGCAAGUCGAACGAGACCUUCGUGUCUUUGUGCGCACGGGUGCGUAACGCGGGGGAACCUGCCCGUAGGUUCGGAAUCACUCCCCUAAAGGUGUGCUAAUACCGGAUAAUGUCUUCGGACCAACGAGUUCUCGCCUUUGGGUGGGCCCUCGUUGGCUUCGCUGGUUGGUAGUGUAAAAGCCUACCAAGGCGACGAUGCAUGGCUGGUCGGGUAGGAUGCCCAGCUGCACUGGGAAUGAGGCCCGGACCAGACUCGUACGGGACGGAGCAGUAGGGAACACUGGAGGCUGGGCGAAAGUCUGACACAGCCAUGCCGCGUGUGAGAUGAAGGCGUUAGUGUUGCAAAGCCCUCUGACACGAGACGAUAAUGACAGUACCGGGAGAAUAAGCACCGGCUAACUACGUG